AGAGAGCAGCACAAGGGCGUACGGAGGAUGCCUAGACAUUAGAAGCCGAUGAAGGACGUAGCAGCCUGCGAAAAGCUUCGGGGAGGUGGCAAGCAACCUUUGAUCCGGAGAUUUCCGAAUGGGGAAACCCGGCCGUCUGUUGAGGACGGUCGCUCCACAGGGUGACCUGUGUGAGUGGGAACCCGCUGAAGUGAAACAUCUCAGUAAGCGGAGGAAAAGAAAACAACAUUAGCCAUUAGUUCAGGGUUUUGGUUCGGUCGGUUUGGCUUAGGCCAACAAGACCGGCUGAAACAUAUCCUGGACUACUGGCUUAGAUUCCCUUAGUAGUGGCGAGCGAAAGGGGAACAGCCCAAACCUAUAGCGUGGUGUGGCGUACCGAGCAAGAGUGGCAACAUUUUUGCCGCGGGCGUCUACAUAAAGAUGCCGGUCGUUGCGCUAUAGGUGUUGUACGGAGUCUUCUAGAGGGACCGGUAAUCCCUCGGUGGAGUGAUAAAGAGUGGUACAUAACGGAACAACCUGGAAUGGUUGACCAAAGAAGGUGACAGUCCUGUAUGUAAAAUGUAUCACUCCUUCACUGUAGACUUUCGUGAGUAAUGCGGGACUCGUGAAAUCCCGCAUGAAACAGCGACGACUAUGUCGCAAGGCUAAAUACUUCUGAUGAUCGAUAGUGAACCAGUACCGUGAGGGAAAGGUUAAAAGCAGCCCGGGAGGGCGAUGAAAUAGUAUCUGAAACCGUACGCUUACCAGGAGUUGGAGCCCGCCUUCGGGUGGGUGACAGCGUUCCUAUUGAAGAAUGAGCCAACGAGUUCGAUGUAUGUUGCUUGGUUAAGUCCCCGAGGGGACGAAGCCAGAGUGAAAGCGAGCCUUAACGGGCGUCGCUGACUUUUAUCAAUCGUUGACGAUCGCUUUGCGGUCGGCAGCGAGAUGAAAGUCAGCAGGUAGCAUGCACGAGACCCGAAACCCAGUGAGCUUACCAUGGCCAGGUUGAACCAGGGGUGAAACUCUGGGAAGGACCGAACCCGUUAGUCGUGUAACGCUAUGGGAUGAGCUGUGGUAAGAGGAGAAAUUCCAAUCGAACUGGGUGAUAGCUGGUUCUCCGCGAAAUAGCUUUAGGGCUAGCGUCUGUUUCGAAGCACGUGGGGGUAGAGCACUGAAUGGGAGCACCGGGAGCAAUCUUAGGUCUUCCAACCAAACUCCGAAUACCAUGUGUGGAUUUCAGGCAGUCAGACUAUGGGGGCUAAGCUCCAUCAGUCGCAAGGGAAACAGCCCAGACCUCAGUCUAAGGUCCCUAAGUUUCAGCUAAGUGUGAAAGGUGGUGGAUCGUCUUAUACAACCAGGAGGUUGGCUUAGAAGCAGCCAUCCUUUAAAGAAAGCGUAAUAGCUCACUGGUCAAGAUAAUCUGCGCCGAAAAUUCACCGGGGCUAAGCUGAACACCGAAGUCGAGGACUUCACAGCAAUGUGGAGUGGUAGCGGAGCGUUCUCAUCUGGCAGAAGUCGGACCCGUGAGGGCCGGUGGACGGAUGAGAAGUGAGAAUGUUGGCAUAAGUAGCAAAAAUGUAGGUGAAAAACCUACACGCCGUAAACCCAAGGUUUCCUGGGCAACGAAACUCGUCCCAGGGUUAGUCGGUCCUAAGGCGAGGCCGAAAGGCGUAGUCGAUGGACAGCAGGCUAAUAUUCCUGCACUUCCAUAUGUGUUCGAAGGGGGGACGCAUUUCCCCAUCCUGAGCGAUUUUCGGCUAUUGUCGUCGCGAGGGCGCAAGAAGGUCGGGUUGGUAAAUCCACCGACGGAAUUCAAGCGCUCAGCGGAAGCUGGCCAUAAAUGGCUGGCAAUUCAGGAGUCGGAGGUGCCUAGAAAAGCCUCUAAGAGCUAUCGCAUAUGGGAUCCGUACCGCAAACCAACACAGGUGGGUGGGCAUAAAUGUGCCAAGGCGAACGAGAGAACCCUCGUUUAGGAACUCGGCAAAAAAGUGGCCGUAACUUCGGGAUAAGGCCCGCUCCUUCCUCAGGGAGGAGCCGCAGCAAACGACUGUCAACCGACUGUUUACCAAAAACACAGGUCUCUGCUAAGCCGCAAGGCGAUGUAUAGGGGCUGAUGCCUGGCCAGUGUCAGAACGUUAAGAGGAGGGGUGAACUUUUACUUCGGUAGAAUGUAGCCCUGAAUUGAAGCGCUGAUGAACGCCGGCGGUAACUAUAACCGUCCUAAGGUAGCGAAAUUCCUUGUCGGGUGAAUA
rnacentral:rRNA from 1 species